UACGAAGGGGGCUAGCGUUGCUCGGAAUUACUGGGCGUAAAGCGCACGUAGGCGGCUCUUUAAGUCGGGGGUGAAAUCCUGGAGCUCAACUCCAGAACUGCCUUCGAUACUGAAGAGCUCGAGUCCGGGAGAGGUAAGUGGAACUGCGAGUGUAGAGGUGAAAUUCGUAGAUAUUCGCAAGAACACCAGUGGCGAAGGCGGCUCACUGGCCCGGUACUGACGCUGAGGUGCGAAAGCGUGGGGAGCAAACAGG
rnacentral:rRNA from 1 species